UAGCUUUUAUUAUUUCAACGAAAAAAGCUAGAAAAACGAACCUAGAAUCACAACACUAAUCGACAAUGAGGAUAGAAAACGCUUUGUAGUGACAAUCUUAUGAAGAGAAAAGAAGCAGCUGUGGAGUGAACAUGUUGUUGAAUGUUGGCCCAACGGCAGACAAUCGCAAUAUACCGGCUAUUGAGGAGAGAUUGCUUCAGAUGGGAGAAUUGGCUGUCUGUAAAUGGGGAAGCUUUUUAAAGCAGCAAACUUGGAGAGCUCAGAAGAACACAGUUGACAUGGAUGUUUGGUAGGCUUAAACUAAAGAUAUACGUCCAAACAUGGGACCGUGUGUGCAAUUGUCCUCUACUUGGUCUCGGAUCCUACAGAUGAGCUGACCCUCAAAGCAUCAGUUUUUACUGAAUACACUAAAGUAACAAUGUUGGGUUAUGGUGGAAAAUUUGUUGGGCACCCGCCAGCGAAAAGGUUGGCAUGAUAGUUAAUUUCCCUUCUAUAACUAACAACAAGCUUCCUUCCAAAUGUGCCUGGGUUUUAUCAUUGGAAAACAGCGUCGAGUUGCAUAGUUCCGCUAUCUAUUGAUUUUCUAUGAGUUGACGCUAAAUUUAAACAGCUGUUAAAUCUUGCCACUGAUAUCCUGUGGUAAACAGGUUUGUUUUGUACUGGUGAAGAGCAACAAAUCAAGUUCAGAGACUGAGUCUUUCAUGUAGAUUUCCUGGCAGAUUUAUCAGCCAUUCUUCGUGGGGCGUUUCUUUGGCAUAACUAAACAGCGUGCUGCGCGUGCGACGUCUGGUCGAAUUGAAUAAUAUUGUCAAAAACAAGAGAACUUUUAAUAAAGUGUUGACUUUGGCAUUUAUAUUGGAAGUAAUGAUAUUGAUAACUUUAGUUUCUCGUCGGGGAAAUUCAUUGAACUUAGGAGAUCAUUUGGUUCACUUUUAAAGCUAUACGAGGAAGUUUUGUUUUGAAAAUACUAGGUUUUUUUUCUUCAUGUUCUUAUACUGAAAAUAUUUAUAAAUGUUUCUCCGAUAGCAAAAAAUUCACUAAGUCCCUCGUAUGUGUUUUUAACUGAGGUUUAAAUAUGAUUAUUGUGAGGUAAACGGAAAAAUGAAUAAAAAAAAUCAAAAUACCCGCUUCUUUCGUUGAUUUUUUUUCUUCAAUUUUUACUAUAACCAAAGUACACUACUUACAAUACUUACAUUAACUACAUUAAAGAUACUUACACAGAAGUUCUCUACAUACAGCCUAGAUUGCAUUACAAUACUUAUAUCUAUUGGUACUUACGCUACUUACAAAGUGAUACUGUUGAAAACACAUACACAUAGAAGAAAC